rnacentral:rRNA from 1 species
GAUGAACGCUGGCGGCGUGCCUAAUACAUGCAAGUCGAGCGAACGGACGAGAAGCUUGCUUCUCUGAUGUUAGCGGCGGACGGGUGAGUAACACGUGGAUAACCUACCUAUAAGACUGGGAUAACUUCGGGAAACCGGAGCUAAUACCGGAUAAUAUUUUGAACCGCAUGGUUCAAAAGUGAAAGACGGUCUUGCUGUCACUUAUAGAUGGAUCCGCGCUGCAUUAGCUAGUUGGUAAGGUAACGGCUUACCAAGGCAACGAUGCAUAGCCGACCUGAGAGGGUGAUCGGCCACACUGGAACUGAGACACGGUCCAGACUCCUACGGGAGGCAGCAGUAGGGAAUCUUCCGCAAUGGGCGAAAGCCUGACGGAGCAACGCCGCGUGAGUGAUGAAGGUCUUCGGAUCGUAAAACUCUGUUAUUAGGGAAGAACAUAUGUGUAAGUAACUGUGCACAUCUUGACGGUACCUAAUCAGAAAGCCACGGCUAACUACGUGCCAGCAGCCGCGGUAAUACGUAGGUGGCAAGCGUUAUCCGGAAUUAUUGGGCGUAAAGCGCGCGUAGGCGGUUUUUUAAGUCUGAUGUGAAAGCCCACGGCUCAAUCGUGGAGGGUCAUUGGAAACUGGAAAACUUGAGUGCAGAAGAGGAAAGUGGAAUUCCAUGUGUAGCGGUGAAAUGCGCAGAGAUAUGGAGGAACACCAGUGGCGAAGGCGACUUUCUGGUCUGUAACUGACGCUGAUGUGCGAAAGCGUGGGGAUCAAACAGGAUUAGAUACCCUGGUAGUCCACGCCGUAAACGAUGAGUGCUAAGUGUUAGGGGGUUUCCGCCCCUUAGUGCUGCAGCUAACGCAUUAAGCACUCCGCCUGGGGAGUACGACCGCAAGGUUGAAACUCAAAGGAAUUGACGGGGACCCGCACAAGCGGUGGAGCAUGUGGUUUAAUUCGAAGCAACGCGAAGAACCUUACCAAAUCUUGACAUCCUUUGACAACUCUAGAGAUAGAGCCUUCCCCUUCGGGGGACAAAGUGACAGGUGGUGCAUGGUUGUCGUCAGCUCGUGUCGUGAGAUGUUGGGUUAAGUCCCGCAACGAGCGCAACCCUUAAGCUUAGUUGCCAUCAUUAAGUUGGGCACUCUAAGUUGACUGCCGGUGACAAACCGGAGGAAGGUGGGGAUGACGUCAAAUCAUCAUGCCCCUUAUGAUUUGGGCUACACACGUGCUACAAUGGACAAUACAAAGGGCAGCGAAACCGCGAGGUCAAGCAAAUCCCAUAAAGUUGUUCUCAGUUCGGAUUGUAGUCUGCAACUCGACUACAUGAAGCUGGAAUCGCUAGUAAUCGUAGAUCGAGCGUGCCUACCGUUGAAUACGUUCCCGGG